rnacentral:rRNA from 1 species
UGGGGAAUAUUGGACAAUGGGCGAAAGCCUGAUCCAGCCAUGCCGCGUGUGUGAAGAAGGUCUUCGGAUUGUAAAGCACUUUAAGUUGGGAGGAAGGGCAGUAAGCGAAUACCUUGCUGUUUUGACGUUACCGACAGAAUAAGCACCGGCUAACUCUGUGCCAGCAGCCGCGGUAAUACAGAGGGUGCAAGCGUUAAUCGGAAUUACUGGGGGUAAAGCGCGCGUAGGUGGUUCGUUAAGUUGAAUGUGAAAGCCCCGGGCUCAACCUGGGAACUGCCUCCAAAACUGGCGGGCUAGAGUAGGGCAGAGGGUGGUGGAAUUUCCUGUGUAGCGGUGAAAUGCGUAGAUAUAGGAAGGAACACCAGUGGCGAAGGCGACCACCUGGGCUCAUACUGACACUGAGGUGCGAAAGCGUGGGGAGCAAACAGG